CCCCUAGAUGUUCUGGGCCGCACGCGCGCUACAAUGAUAAGUUCAGCGAGUAUAACCUUUUUCGACAGAAAUGGGUAAUCUUAUGAAAGCUUAUCGUGCUGGGGAUAGAAUAUUGGAAUUCUUGUUCUUGAACGAGGAAUGCCUAGUAAAUGCAAUUCAUUAAAUUGCGUUGAUUACGUCAAUGCCCUUUGUACACACCGCCCAUCGCUCCUACCGAUUGAAUGAUCCGGUGAAGUGUCUAGACUUUGAUAUUGAAACUGCGCAAGCGGUAUUAAUAAUGAGGGAAGGACAAUAAACCUUGUCAUUUAGAGGAAGGAGAANAUGCANCA
rnacentral:rRNA from 1 species